AUUGAACGCUGGCGGAAUGCUUUACACAUGCAAGUCGAACGGCAGCACGGACUUCGGUCUGGUGGCGAGUGGCGAACGGGUGAGUAAUGUAUCGGAACGUGCCCAGUCGGGGGGGAUAACGUAGCGAAAAUUACGCUAAUACCGCAUACGAUCUGUGGAGGAAAGCGGGGGAUCGCAAGACCGCGCGCGCUUGGAGCGGGCGAUAUCAGAUUAGGUAGUUGGUGGGGUAAAGGCACACAAAGCCAACGAUCUGUAGCUGGACUGAGAGGACAACCAGCCACACUGAAACUGAGACACGGUCCAGACUCCUACGGGAGGCAGCAGUGGGGAAUUUUGGACAAUGGGCGAAAGCCUGAUCCAGCCAUUCCGCGUGCAGGAUGAAGGCCCUCGGGUUGUAAACUGCUUUUGUACAGAACGAAAAGGUUUCUACUAAUACUAGGAGCUCAUGACGGUACUGUAAGAAUAAGCACCGGCUAACUACGUGCCAGCAGCCGCCGUAA
rnacentral:rRNA from 1 species